GACGAACGCUGGCGGCGUGCUUAACACAUGCAAGUCGAACGGAAAGGCCCUGCUUUUGUGGGGUGCUCGAGUGGCGAACGGGUGAGUAACACGUGAGUAACCUGCCCUUGACUUUGGGAUAACUUCAGGAAACUGGGGCUAAUACCGGAUAGGAGCUCCUGCUGCAUGGUGGGGGUUGGAAAGUUUCGGCGGUUGGGGAUGGACUCGCGGCUUAUCAGCUUGUUGGUGGGGUAGUGGCUUACCAAGGCUUUGACGGGUAGCCGGCCUGAGAGGGUGACCGGCCACAUUGGGACUGAGAUACGGCCCAGACUCCUACGGGAGGCAACAGUGGGGAAUAUUGCACAAUGGGCGGAAGCCUGAUGCAGCAACGCCGCGUGCGGGAUGACGGCCUUCGGGUUGUAACCGCUUUCGCCUGUGACGAAGCGUGAGUGACGGUAAUGGGUAAAGAAGCACCAGCUAACUACGUG
rnacentral:rRNA from 1 species